ACGCUCCGGGAAAAGGCUCUUGUGUUGUUGAAAAUACCCAGUUGUGGGUGUGGCCUUGUACCAGGAAACCCUGACCUAAAAUGAAUUCAUAGAAAUUUUUCCUGCAUUUCAAAUUUGUAGUAACAAAGGCGAGUAAUCUAGCAACAGUCUAAUGAUCACGAAUGAUACUGGUUACAGCA